GACGAACGCUGGCGGCGUGCUUAACACAUGCAAGUCGAACGGGUCUGCCCUGUUUUUUGCGGGGUGGGUCAGUGGCGAACGGGUGAGUAACACGUGAGUAACCUGCCCCUCACUUCUGGAUAACCGCUUGAAAGGGUGGCUAAUACGGGGUGUUCUGGCUGUGCCGCAUGGUGUGGCUGGGAAAGAUUCACUUUUGUGGUGUUUUGGUGGGGGAUGGGCUCGCGGCCUAUCAGCUUGUUGGUGGGGUGAUGGCCUGCCAAGGCUGUGACGGGUAGCCGGCCUGAGAGGGUGGGCGGUCACACUGGGACUGAGAUACGGCCCAGACUCCGGCGGGAGGCAGCAGGGGGGGGUAUUGCACAAUGGGCGGAAGCCUGAUGCAGCGACGUCGCGUGAGGGAUGGAGGCCUUCGGGUUGUGAACCUCUUUCGCCGGUGAAGAAGGUCCUGCUCUUUGUGGUGGGGUUGACGGUAGCCGGGUUAUGAAGCGCCGGCUAACUACGUG
rnacentral:rRNA from 1 species